AUUGAACGCUGGCGGCAGGCCUAACACAUGCAAGUCGAGCGGAUGAAGGGAGCUUGCUCCUGGAGUCAGCGGCGGACGGGUGAGUAAUGCCUAGGAAUCUGCCUGGUAGUGGGGGAUAACAUCCGGAAACGGGCGCUAAUACCGCAUACGUCCUGAGGGAGAAAGUGGGGGAUCUUCGGACCUCACGCUAUCAGAUGAGCCUAGGUCGGAUUAGCUAGUUGGUGGGGUAAAGGCCUACCAAGGCGACGAUCCGUAACUGGUCUGAGAGGAUGAUCAGUCACACUGGAACUGAGACACGGUCCAGACUCCUACGGGAGGCAGCAGUGGGGAAUGUUGGACAGUGGGCGAAAGCCUGAUACAGCCAUGCCGCGUGUGUGAAGAAGGUCUUCGGAGUGUAAAGCACUUUAAGUUGGGAGGAAGGGCAGUAAGUUAAUACCUUGCUGUUUUGACGUUACCAACAGAAUAAGCACCGGCUAACUUCGUG
rnacentral:rRNA from 1 species